rnacentral:ncRNA from 2 species
AUUCGCCCUCACGUUUCUGGUGCCGUGGCCGGGGUUCUCCCGGCGCGGUGAAACGGGAAAGCGGUGCGCCGGAGUGCUUCCGGCAAAGCCGCUGCUGCCCCCGCAACGGUAGGCGAGUGCGGGCGCGCCGAAACGCCACUGGGCUCUUUGGGCCCGGGAAGGCGGCGCGUCAAAUCUCGCAAGCCCGGAGACCGGCCAGAAACUCAGGGCGCAG